ACUGGUGGACUGUAUUCGAGUGAGAAUGCCGGAAUGAGUAGCGAGAAUUAUGUGGGAAUCAUAAUGGCCGAAAAUCUAAGGUUUCUUGGGGAAGGUUCGUCCGCCCAAGGUUAGUCGGGAGCUAAGCUCAGGCCGAAAGGCGUAGGCGAUGCACAUACGGUAGAAAUUCCGUAACCACCGAACAUUUAAGCUAGAGGGACGCUUUCUUUAAGGUUAUCCCGGGCGAUGGUUGCCCCGGGCGUAAGGGACCGAAAUAUAGUAGGGAAGUAACUGGCGAGAGAGACGAGAAAAGCUCUAGUGUAUACUAAGGUGCCCGUACCGCAAACCGACACAGGUAGAUGGGAUGAGUAUUCUAAGGCCAACGGGAGAAGGGUUGUUAAGGAACUCGGCAAAUUGGCCCCGUAACUUCGGGAUAAGGGGCGCCUGCGAGAGCAGGCCGCAGUGAAAAGGCCCAAGCGACUGUUUAGCAAAAACACAGCUCUCUGCUAAAUCGAAAGAUGACGUAUAGGGGGUGACGCCUGCCCGGUGCUGGAAGGUUAAGGGGAGUGCUUAGCGCAAGCGAAGGUGCGAACUUAAGCCCCAGUAAACGGCGGCCGUAACUAUAACGGUCCUAAGGUAGCGAAAUUCCUUGUCAGGUAAGUUCUGACCCGCACGAAUGGCGUAACGAUUUGGGCACUGUCUCAACAGCCCGCCCGGCGAAAUUGUAGUACCGGUGAAGAUGCCGGUUUCCCGCAACUAGACGGAAAGACCCCAUGGAGCUUCACUGUAGCUUGAUAUUGGAUCUCGGUAUUCCAUGUACAGGAUAGGUGGGAGGCUAGGAAGCGAGCGCGCCAGCGUUCGUGGAGCCAACCUUGGGAUACCACUCUUGGGAUAUUGGGAUUCUAACCUGCGACCAUGAAUCUGGUCGGGGGACACUGUCAGGUGGGCAGUUUGACUGGGGCGGUCGCCUCCAAAAGAGUAACGGAGGCGCUCAAAGGUUCGUUCAGCACGGAUGGAAAUCGUGCACUGAGUGUAAACGCAUAAACGAGCCUAACUGCGAGAAUGACGGUUCGAGCAGUAACGAAAGUUGGAGUUAGUGAUCCGGCGGUAUGUGAAUGGAAAUGCCGUCGCUCAACGGAUAAAAGCUACCCUGGGGAUAACAGGCUGAUCUCCCCCAAGAGUCCACAUCGACGGGGAGGUUUGGCACCUCGAUGUCGGCUCAUCGCAUCCUGGGGCUGAAUUCGGUCCCAAGGGUUUGGCUGUUCGCCAAUUAAAGCGGUACGCGAGCUGGGUUCAGAACGUCGUGAGACAGUUCGGUCCCUAUCUGUCGUGGGCGUAGGAUAUUUGCAAGGAGCUGUCCCUAGUACGAGAGGACCGGGAUGGACGCACCUCUGGUGCACCAGUUGUCACGCCAGUGGCACAGCUGGGCAGCUAUGUGCGGAACGGAUAAACGCUGAAGGCAUCUAAGCGUGAAGCCGCCCUUAAGAUAAGAUAUCCCUUCUGUUUACAGAGUAAGACCCCUUGAAGACUACAAGGUUGAUAGGCUCAAAGUGUAAGCACGGUGACGUGUUUAGCUAGCGAGUACUAAUCGGUCGAGGGCUUAACCU
rnacentral:rRNA from 1 species